CUCAAAACUUUUCUUUUAGCUUCGCUACACAACACUAGCUCUCAAAGCUGAAACCCGAGAACAACCUCACCCUCCAACUGAAUCCAAAUUUCUUGCCAAAUCGAAAGUACUCACCCUAAUCAUCAAAACUAAAAACCCAAAAGCUAACCCUCCAUCCCCCAUCUCUUUUUGAGAAACACAGAAAACCUAAUUCCACAUCUAAGACUUUGUUUCAAACCAUAGAGCGAAAUCAUCGAAGCCUCAUUGCUCAUUUCAAUUUCAUGCAUGGGUGUCAAUCACUAGCUCUUUAUCUAUGCUGUUUAUGUUCGAAUUGGGGAUGCGGGAUUAUCGAAAUAGAUUUUGGUGAUGUGUCUCUCUUGACAAGGAUUUUGGUGAAUUAGGUGAGUCUGGAAGUGGUGGAUACAAGCUGUGGUGUUUGGCUCUGAAUUUUCGAGAGAGUGGGAGGUACGCCAUGGUCAAUGGAAACCGGAAAAGAAAGAAGCAAGCAGAGUGACUCUAUCCAGUUAAGGUGUUAUCAAAUGACGAAGAAGGCUCUUCUCAAAUGGUUUGCUCAGUCAGUCAAUGGCCUCCAUCUUGGGGCUUGCUGGGUCAGUCAAUGCCAAAGUCAAUGGAAUCACAGUUGGGCAUACGAAGCUUCACAUUGAACAAGAAUAUGUUCUCCUUUAUCUUCACCAAGCUUUUUAAUUGGUUUCUUUGCAUCAGUGGACUUCACCAAUUACAAAGUAAGAGAAAAGUUUUGUCUUGCAUAUUGAUCAGUUCUAGUUUAGAUUGGAACUUAUGCAAGUUUCCUUUUUGGAUCUGAAAGUUUUGUGAUUUGGUGAUAUCCAAAGAAGCUGUGGGAGGGGAGGGGCUUGUUUUAUUAUAUAGUCUGAUCACUAAUACAAAGCUCUAGCUUUUGAAGAACUAACUCCCCCAGUUUUCACUUCCGGAGCACUCUUCCCCACUGAGGUUUGUAUUUCACCCCAUUUUGUGUCCCUUUAUAAGGGGGUUGAUUUUUUUAUCAUUCUUGUGAUUUUGAGGCUGGAUUGUUAUAUGAUAUGUGUCUGACGGACAGGAAAGAAUUGUCGAACUCUUUGAGAAGAACACAAAUUCUGUUGUUAACAUUUUCGAUGUACAUUGCGCCCUCAACUUAAUGUAACUGGUGUGGUUGAGGUGUACGUUUUCUUAUUAUACUUCUUCAAUGCUCAUUAGUGUAAAAAUAUAUUGUCACUGCAAAUAAUAUCUUAUGUAUGUAUCAGCAAGUUCCCAAAGGAAAUGGUUCAAGAGUAGUUUGGGAUAAACAAGGCAACAUUGUAACAAACUACCAUGGUAGGAGCUGGUGAAGCAACUUGAAUUAUUAUUGUAUAAAUUGAAUAGUGCGCCUGGCCUCAUAUCAUUAAAUGAAUAUAUCUCGCAUUAUUCUCUCCACUAGAGAUGUUAUUUAUAGUAUUGCUAAAAAUAUUUGUCAACUUCACAUUCACACAUUCACUGAUACUGACUAUCUGCAUUUUGAUACCCCUCCAUGUGGUACAUCCUAUUCUUUUCAUUCUUCUACGUGUUUGAUGAAUCACAACCAAGUUCUCACCUGCAAUCUGAUACAUCUUUAUGACACUACUGAUUUUGAUUGGAAUUUGAAGCUGACAGAUGCUUAAUUAUCUUUGUUAAGGUUUCAGUUUCAUGCAACCAAGAAAUGUCUUUGUUAUCAAUUUCAGUCUCAAAUUUUAAAUUUUCAUUUGCCGAUGCAGCUGGCAACUUUCAUAGGCCAUACAUAUAGAGUUCUUUAUCUUGCCAUCUCACCUGACGGACAGGUUCUGUACCUGUAAUUCUUUCUAUUAAUCAUAAUCCUUCAUCCCUUUCACUCAUAAUUCUGCAAAUUUUUAGGUUUCAUUAUGCAUAUUCUUAUCUGUUAUAUUGUUUAUUGUUUCAGACAAUUGUCAUGGGAGCAGGAGAUGAAACACUUAGGUUUUGGAAUGUGUUUCCUUCUCCUAAAUCUGACGUACAAGAUUUAAUAGAUUAUGACAAAUUUUGAUGAAAAUUCAACAUUGAAGUGAUGAACAUUGUCCUAAUGCACAUUAAUUCUCCAUAUAUAUCUUGUUGAUCAAAUUUUUGUAUUAGGUACAUCUACCAAUUACUCAAUGGCUCAAAGUGCUACUCAAAGAUUGAUAGAAGCUAAGUAUUGACCAAAACAAUUUUACAAGAUUUUGCUCCUUCUAUACAUGGAAGUUAGCCCUGGACAGUUGGAUCACCCAAAUCUUGUAAAACUAAUUGGUUACUGCCUAGAGGAUGGCAUGCGGCUUCUGGUGCACGAAUUUAUCCCUCAAGGCAGCUUGAACAUGCAUCUACAUAUAAGGACUUCUCGAUUUUCACUACUUCCAUAGAACGUUUGUAUGAAGCAGAGAUGAUACACGUAGUCUGCAGAAAACAAGUUGUGAAAUCUUUGACCAAGGCAGUAGAUACAUUGCUGAUUACUCAUGGGACAAGUACACCCUUCAUGAAGGACCUUUUGAGGAGGUUGGAGCAACCGUGCUUAAACUUUUAUCAAUAAUGGAGUAGAUUAGUUUAUAUAUACUACUGUUAACAUACUAUAUUUCCUGGUUUGAGUGUGACUUUUUCAUCAUUGGGAUAUAUGAUAAUACUUU